rnacentral:tRNA from 1 species
AAUGAAAUGCCUGAUUAAAGGGCUACUUCGAUAAAGUAAUUCAUGUUAGAUUAACUUUCAUUA